UACAGAGGUCCCAAGCGUUGUUCAGAUUCACUGGGCGUAAAGGGUGCGUAGGUGGCCAGGUAAGUUUGGUGUGAAAGCUCGGAGCUUAACUCCGAAAAGUCAUUGAAUACUAUCUGGCUGGAGGGUCGGAGGGGAGACUGGAAUUCUCGGUGUAGCAGUGAAAUGCGUAGAUAUCGAGAGGAACACCAGUGGUGAAGGCGAGUCUCUGGACGACUCCUGACACUGAGGCACGAAAGCUAGGGGAGCAAACAGG
rnacentral:rRNA from 1 species